UCAACAUCGAGGAUUGGGAGAGUAAUCCUGAUAGAGCGGUAACAGCGAACCGGGUUGGUGGAAGCCGGUACUAAGCAUCAGGAUGAAGCGCCCCCAGGAGAUGGUCUUCUGAACAGCUUUUCAGCUUGUGUAGGAAGAUCCGGCAUUCACCCCGUUAGCGUGCAAAGCGGCCGUAACAACCGGCUGGUAUGAAUAAUACUUGUCCGUUAUUGUUAUCCGGCACCAAGAGUGGUACCGCGGGAACUGCAGGCUCUCGUCUCUUUU
rnacentral:ncRNA from 1 species